UCACAGGAUUGCAUGUUGUGGUAGUAAUGUUCACUGGCUAUUUAUUUGGAUUUGCUGCUUUUAGAGCCUUGUUCAACCAUAGUGCCGUGUUGCAUGCUGCUGGUGGCAUCCUAGGAAUGGUAUGUGGUAUGCUUCUUGAGACAGUUCUCUUCAUCAUUAGAGCUUCAGGUCAGGAUUUGCUGUCCUCCAACUCAACCUCAAAGCGAAAGAAGCAGCAGUAAGGCUUAGGUAUGGCUUUGGAAACCAACUUUUGAUUAUAUUUGUAUGCAUUUUUUCUUACUAUUAUACAUGUCAGAUCUAUCAGCUUAGCUAAUCUUAGAUCUUCAUGAGCAAUACAAAUUCCUUGUAGUUUGUAAGUUUUCACAAUAUCUUGGGAGUACUGGAACACUUAUACUGUAGUGACAUAUAUUUUCUUUUUCUCUUAUCUAGACAUAGCUGUUCUUGUGCUUCAAAUUGAAAGUGGAGCUUAUUGACUUGGUUGAACAAUACAUUGCUGAAGUUUUUGCAGUUUAUAAAGGGGAAAAAAAAGGUUAACCAA